GCAUCUCUAACUCAAUUGGUAGAGUAGCGGACCUUUAAUCCGUCAAGUCUGAGUUCGAGUCUCAGGGGAUGCA
rnacentral:tRNA from 1 species